rnacentral:lncRNA from 1 species
GAGUUUUCUCUUAAAAGUGCACUUUUUCUAGGAGUGUUCUCUUGUGAGUAUAAGCUAAGUUAUUUUCUUUCCUCUUAUAUAAACCUUGUUGCUACAAUAAAAUGGUAUUCCAUUGAAGUUUCAAUCAAGUCUUUUGUUGUUCAAGAUUUCUUAUGCUAUAUUCCUUCUUGCAUUAGUUUAUUUCUUGCUUCCAUUCUUGCUUUAGUUUAAUUCUUGGCUUAAUCUUUAUAGUUGAACUGAACUUGUUUGACACUUUGUAGUAAGCAACUACCAACUCUAUUUCUAAUGUACGAUUCUUCUGCUCUGGUUGGUAUUAGAGCCUAAGUUGCAGGGAGUGGCUUAGGCUUUGUGUCUGGAAGCUAAGAGUUCAAAAUAAAUUAGUCAGGAACUACUCUUUGAUAAUGUUAAUUGGAAUAGCAAGAACUGUUAGGAUAUUAGUCAGCUUCGAGAGAUAGUGGUCCUAAUAAUAAUAAUAACUCUAUGACUUUGAUGAAAAAAACUCAACUAAUGAUUAGGUUGAAAUCUGAUCAAAAUGAUAUUUGGACAAAUUAGUGGGGGAUUGUUUCAACUUGAUUGGUUGUCUUUUGUUUGAGUCUUAGAUUUGUAAUUAUGAUAAUUGAGAGAAAAGUUUUGUGGCCUGUUAUGAUUUUAUCAAAUUCAAAUAAGAUUGUUUCUUGUAAAAAAAAAAAUUGUAUUCUCAAGCCAAAAAUAUCAUAUAAUAACAAAUUAGGUGAACUUAAAAUUAUAAGUUUUAAAAUGAAUUGAAUUGUAUAAGCUAGCUUGAUUAGCUCCGUAACCUAAAU